ensembl:snRNA U6 U6 spliceosomal RNA
GUACUUGCUUCGACAGCACAUAUACUAGAACUGGAAUUAUACAGAGAAGAUUAGCAUGGCUUCCACACAAGAGUGACAUGAAAAUUUAUGAAGCAUUCCAUAUUUUU